rnacentral:rRNA from 1 species
GACGAACGCUGGCGGCGUGCUUAACACAUGCAAGUCGAGCGGUAAGGCCCUUUCGGGGGUACACGAGCGGCGAACGGGUGAGUAACACGUGGGUGACCUGCCCUCAGCUCUGGGAUAAGCCUGGGAAACCGGGUCUAAUACUGGAUAUGACUCCAUGACGCAUGUUGUGGGGUGGAAAGCCUUGUGCGGCUGAGGAUGGGCCCGCGGCCUAUCAGCUUGUUGGUGGGGUGANGGCCUACCAAGGCGACGACGGGUAGCCGGCCUGAGAGGGCGACCGGCCACACUGGGACUGAGACACGGCCCAGACUCCUACGGGAGGCAGCAGUGGGGAAUCUUGCGCAAUGGGCGAAAGCCUGACGCAGCGACGCCGCGUGAGGGAUGACGGCCUCGGUUGUAACGU